GGCAAUUCCAGGGUUUCUGUCCACUCCCUAGCUGUUGCCACACGCACAGCCUCUGACCUUCCUCAGCCUCCCACUGGGGCCUAGGGACCGGAGCUGCCCGUGGAGCACCUUUCCACCCUCUCCCACCUGACCUCUGGCCUCCCGGCUCCAGGCUGGCUGACAUAUGCAGGACCCCAGGGGCUGGGGUGAGCCCCUACUGCCUUUGAUGUCAGCCUGUCCCCCUCCAGGAGGCUGCUCUCCCUCUGGCCCUCCCCCACCAUGCCCUUUUCUUCCCACAUUCACUUACCCUGGGUGCCCCAAGCUGUUCAGACAGACAGCGUGACUCCAACACACCAGAAAAGACAAAGGAGUCACACAGAGCCAGAAAAUCCUCCCAGAGCCUCUGCUUCUGACCUCUGGGGCCAACCCAGCCCCACGGGGCUCUGGGUUCUCAGCUGCAGACAGCGGGGCUGUGGUCACACGUGCCCUGCUUGCUAGGGUGCUGACCCUGGGCAGCGAGGCCUCCCUGGUCUCCACCAAUGGUGCAAAUCCCAUAGCAGGGACCAACAGAGCUGGAAUCACCACAUCCAGGGGCCUGGGGGAACUGCAGGAGGCCCCGCCCUCCAUAUCAAGAAGCAAAGGAAGCAGAGGACAGAGAGGAAUUCGUACACCAGCAUAUGAACCUCACCAGAACUCCAGGAGGGACGUUGGCACUAGGACGUUGGCAUCACCCCUGCACCUGGACCCAUCUAGAUGAAGUAAACUUACUGAGGCUCCAGAAGAAGGUCUUCAGGACUCAGACGUCAGUUAUAGAUUAGAAGAAGUUAAUCACUUAUGUCUGUAGACGAAUGUACACUUACAUGUAGACAUAGAGCUUAGAAGGUACAUAAGCUCUGGAAGACUUUGUAAUUUUGAGUUAGUCUGGCGAUAAUUUCCAGGCCUUCUCCCUGUAACCGGUUGCAGAAAUAAACACCCUCUUCCUCCU
rnacentral:lncRNA from 1 species